GCCGCAAUAGCCGGCCUGCUUUACACAUGCAAGUCGAACGAUGAAGACCGUGCUUGCACGGUUGGAUUAGUGGCGAACGGGUGAGUAUCACGUGAGUAACCUUCCCUUGACUCUGGGAUAAGCCCGGGAAACUGGGUCUAAUACCGGAUACGACCAGUCCUCGCAUGGGGUGCUGGUGGAAAGAUUUAUCGGUCUUGGAUGGACUCGCGGCCUAUCAGCUUGUUGGUGAGGUAAUAGCUCACCAAGGCGAUGACGGGUAGCCGGCCUGAGAGGGUGACCGGCCACACUGGGACUGAGACACGGCCCAGACUCCUACGGGAGGCAGCAGUGGGGAAUAUUGCACAAUGGGCGAAAGCCUGAUGCAGCGACGCCGCGUGCGGGAUGACGGCCUUCGGGUUGUAAACCGCUUUCAGCAGGGAAGAAGCGCAAGUGACGGUACCUGCAGAAGAAGCGCCGGCUAACUACGUGCCAGCAGCCGCGGUAAUACGUAGGGCGCGAGCGUUAUCCGGAAUUAUUGGGCGUAAAGAGCUCGUAGGCGGUUUGUCACGUCUGCUGUGAAAGCCCGGGGCUCAACCUCGGGUGUGCAGUGGGUACGGGCAGACUAGAGUGCAGUAGGGGAGACUGGAAUUCCUGGUGUAGCGGUGAAAUGCGCAGAUAUCAGGAGGAACACCGAAUGGCGAAGGCAGGUCUCUGGGCUGUUACUGACGCUGAGGAGCGAAAGCAUGGGGAGCGAACAGGAUUAGAUACCCUGGUAGUCCAUGCCGUAAACGUUGGGGCACUAGGUGUGGGGGACAUUCCACGUUUUCCGCGCCGUAGCUAACGCAUUAAGUGCCCCGCCUGGGGAGUACGGCCGCAAGGCUUAAAACUCAAAGGAAUUGACGGGGGCCCGCAC
rnacentral:rRNA from 1 species